rnacentral:rRNA from 1 species
GGCUCAGGACGAACGCUGGCGGCGUGCCUAAUACAUGCAAGUCGAGCGGACAGAAGGGAGCUUGCUCCCGGAUGUUAGCGGCGGACGGGUGAGUAACACGUGGGUAACCUGCCUGUAAGACUGGGAUAACUCCGGGAAACCGGAGCUAAUACCGGAUAGUUCCUUGAACCGCAUGGUUCAAGGAUGAAAGACGGUUUCGGCUGUCACUUACAGAUGGACCCGCGGCGCAUUAGCUAGUUGGUGAGGUAACGGCUCACCAAGGCGACGAUGCGUAGCCGACCUGAGAGGGUGAUCGGCCACACUGGGACUGAGACACGGCCCAGACUCCUACGGGAGGCAGCAGUAGGGAAUCUUCCGCAAUGGACGAAAGUCUGACGGAGCAACGCCGCGUGAGUGAUGAAGGUUUUCGGAUCGUAAAGCUCUGUUGUUAGGGAAGAACAAGUGCAAGAGUAACUGCUUGCACCUUGACGGUACCUAACCAGAAAGCCACGGCUAACUACGUGCCAGCAGCCGCGGUAAUACGUAGGUGGCAAGCGUUGUCCGGAAUUAUUGGGCGUAAAGGGCUCGCAGGCGGUUUCUUAAGUCUGAUGUGAAAGCCCCCGGCUCAACCGGGGAGGGUCAUUGGAAACUGGGAAACUUGAGUGCAGAAGAGGAGAGUGGAAUUCCACGUGUAGCGGUGAAAUGCGUAGAGAUGUGGAGGAACACCAGUGGCGAAGGCGACUCUCUGGUCUGUAACUGACGCUGAGGAGCGAAAGCGUGGGGAGCGAACAGGAUUAGAUACCCUGGUAGUCCACGCCGUAAACGAUGAGUGCUAAGUGUUAGGGGGUUUCCGCCCCUUAGUGCUGCAGCUAACGCAUUAAGCACUCCGCCUGGGGAGUACGGUCGCAAGACUGAAACUCAAAGGAAUUGACGGGGGCCCGCACAAGCGGUGGAGCAUGUGGUUUAAUUCGAAGCAACGCGAAGAACCUUACCAGGUCUUGACAUCCUCUGACAACCCUAGAGAUAGGGCUUUCCCUUCGGGGACAGAGUGACAGGUGGUGCAUGGUUGUCGUCAGCUCGUGUCGUGAGAUGUUGGGUUAAGUCCCGCAACGAGCGCAACCCUUGAUCUUAGUUGCCAGCAUUCAGUUGGGCACUCUAAGGUGACUGCCGGUGACAAACCGGAGGAAGGUGGGGAUGACGUCAAAUCAUCAUGCCCCUUAUGACCUGGGCUACACACGUGCUACAAUGGACAGAACAAAGGGCUGCGAGACCGCAAGGUUUAGCCAAUCCCACAAAUCUGUUCUCAGUUCGGAUCGCAGUCUGCAACUCGACUGCGUGAAGCUGGAAUCGCUAGUAAUCGCGGAUCAGCAUGCCGCGGUUGAAUACGUUCCCGGGCCUUGUACACACCG